rfam:Gossypium raimondii Chr07_contig_543, whole genome shotgun sequence.
AACCUAUGGUGAGGGCAUCGUCUUAAUAAGUCAUUAUACCUCUACCCUACAUCAUAUAAGGUUUCUAAGUCAAUCUGAGCGAAGGAAGAGAUAUCAUUCCUCAACUU